GACACCAACUUCUCACUUUAUGAACGGGAAACUGUGGAAAUGUGGAACAACACGCACUGUGGGCUUUAUCCACUAACGACUGAACACGGUGAAGAAAAAAAGGGUGACAGAGGGUGUCGUCCGUGACUCUGACACUGAAACAAUCCAGCAGCCAACAGAAAAAAAGCGGAGGCCGAAAAACAGGUGGGGUCCUCCACCACCACCACUCACAGAGGCUGAGCAGUUGGCCCUCAGCCAAAACAGUGGGCGCCCUGUGGCUGAAGGCAUCUCUGCAGGGACAUCCUCUGAGUCAAUAACCCCGCAAGACACAAGUGCCUACAUAAGAGUUGAUGGUGAUGGUGUACUGCAUCUGGUGCAGCCUCCUGUUGAGCCAGACCAACAUGCAGUUGAAAAUAAUGAAGAAACAUUGACAGCUGUUACAGAGGAGGAAGCAACAGAGACACUUUAUGAGAGUGAUGAUGGAAAUGCAGAGGAAGAGGGUCCAGCCACUUCUCCAACAAACCUUUCCUCAUUCCCUGUAAAGCAGCUGUAUAAGAAAUAUUUGAUCAAGAAAAUAAAAAAAUGCGACUUGGAAAUGGAACACUUCAAGCAGCAGAUCCAAAAGACCAAGAUUGAGAUUUUACUGCUGGAACAUCAGUUAAGGGUGGGUGAAGUGGUCAGAGAUGGACGAAUUAUUUCAGUGUUUGAACAACAUAAUAAUAUACUUAUUAAUACUUUGUGUACAGGAAAUACAGGCGACCAAUAAAGCCAGUUGAACA